UAUAAUACUUUUAAUGAUUAUUAAAGUCUUUAAUCUUGUAAACAACACUGUAUCAUAAAUGACACAUCAAAUCCAUUCGUUAUUUUAUUUACCGACCAAACAGCAAUGAGCGCUAACGCGAAUUUUUUAUGUAAGAAAGAUCUGUGACUCUAAAUUUAUGGAUGAGGAUGAGAAAAAUACUGACCCUAGCAAUAUGCAAGGUGGUAUCGACUAGGCCAAAGAUGGGCAAGAUCAGUUCCAUGUACAAACUACCAUUCCUGAAUUACCUCCGUUUGAAUGAAAUUAGAAACAUGAGAGUAAACUUCAUUCUACAUCAGCUGAAGACGAAGUUUUGCUGAGAAUUCAACUUAUUUCGAUCGGAUGAAAUUACUCGACGAAGUCCGCGGGCUAAAUCGAGAUCCAGAAAUACUUCUAUUAAGAAUGAUAUCUGUUUUAGCCAAACAAAGAAAUAUUAUUAUUUUACCGCCCAGGCAAGACCGCUCCACUACUUACGUCACUCAAAAUGUCAAAACAGAUCCGGGCAGGUAGAUGUUUACCUCUUAGUGACGUACGAAGUGUUGUUUUUCUUUCGCUAAAAGGCAAACCGAAAUGUGAACACGAUCCAUGUUUUGCAAACAUCUAGCUGGACAAUCAUGAGGGCAUGCUACACGAUUUCAACCCACAAAUGCGGUUGCCACAUUAGAGUCACGGCAGGCCGCCACGCUUAUAAAUAUUAUUUAUUCUAAAGUUUUAUAUACCUGGUUAAGCUUGAUCUUUAUUAAAUUUUGUCAAUUUAUUAUUAUACUUUGUCCAUGCUUGGGAUAUUGAUACAUCGCAUUCACGCCGUUUUAUUAUGUGUGACAAAAUUAAGUGCAUGGUGAAUUGAAAAAAAAUGUACUAACCUAUUUUUCCAAUGGUUUAAAUAUUAGUUUCAUUCAUUGAACGUAAAUAUACGUGUGCUACAUGUGCA